UUUCUGAUAGCCUCACUUUUCCCUUCGUUCGUCAGUUCCUCUUUCUCUCUCUUCCGCCUCUCUUCCUCCAUCACACUCUCACACAGGCACAUCGCACAUAGAUCGAACUCCGAUAUGACCAGAUCAGACACCGAUCAAGACACCAAAUGGUUCUAUAUGGAAGUCGUCAUCACCGGCGCUAUCAACAAGUGAUGGGUUCGUCAACACCGUCUUCUGGAUCCAGACCAUUCUCGGCCGAAGCUUAGGUCGGGUACAGGGCCGACGAGAUCGGAAGAGUUCGGCAUCCCCGAUGAAUAUCUUCGGUCAAAGAUCUUAAGAUAAUCGAACAGGUAUUGAAGGCUGUCAACGUUCUGAAUAGCAAGUGGAGGGUACUGUGUUGUUCAUAUUCACAAACAAUUCAAUGUUUAUUUUUAAAAUGUGGUAAAACACUGAAAAUUUGACUUGUCGUUUUGCAGAAGCUAGAUGAGUUGGUUUACAUUGCUACCUAUGAUAUUCUUUUCAGCCAGAGAUAUCAAAACCUCAGUGUAAUACUCUGAAAAUUGAUGACAAUAUGGCCUUUAUUGGUUACAGAAACAAUACAAGGAAAAUGUGAAGACAAAAAUUGUAUUUAGGCCAAAUGUUUCUAUGGCGUUGUUCUUUCAAUACAACACUGCUUUGGGGGCCACCUUACCAGGUUUUGGUAGAUACCAACUUUUAUCAAUUUCUCUAUCCAGAAUAAGUUGGAAAAUGUGAAGAGAAUUACAGACUGCCCAUAUGCAAAGUGUAGUCCUGGUAUCACAGAUUAUGUAAUGGCAGAGCUUGAAAAGUUGGGUCAGAAAUAUCAUGUGGCUCUGAGGUUGUCCGUAUCAAAGGAGCUGCAGCUGUGGGAUGAAGAGUCUUGAUGUUUGUAUUUUGAUGGGUGCAUCUGUAAAUUCUUAGUUAGUAUAUUUAUUGUAUGAUACAUUUUAAAAUAUAGUACAGGGUACAAUACAAGAAUGUAGAGGUGCCAAUUGGCACCUUAUUUUUUUUAAUCCAACCUCAUAAAUUUGCCACUGAUAUCAGUGGCAUUCCAAAGCCACUAAUAUCAGUGUGGAUUUAGAUUCUGACUUUGCAUUG